GACGAACGCUGGCGGCGUGCCUAAUACAUGCAAGUCGAACGAAGCUGUUUUAACUGGUGCUUGCACCGACUUAAACAACUGAGUGGCGAACGGGUGAGUAACACGUGGGUAACCUGCCCCAAAGCGGGGGAUAACAUUUGGAAACAGAUGCUAAUACCGCAUAACCACAGAAACCACAUGGUUUCUGUGUCAAAGAUGGUUUCGGCUAUCACUUUGGGAUGGACCCGCGGCGUAUUAGCUAGUUGGUAAGGUAAUGGCCUACCAAGGCAAUGAUACGUAGCCGAACUGAGAGGUUGAUCGGCCACAUUGGGACUGAGACACGGCCCAAACUCCUACGGGAGGCAGCAGUAGGGAAUCUUCCACAAUGGACGAAAGUUUGAUGGAGCAACGCCGCGUGAGUGAAGAAGGUUUUCGGAUCGUAAAACUCUGUUGUCAGAGAAGAACGUGUGCGAGAGUAACUGUUCGUGCAGUGACGGUAUCUGGCCAGAAAGCCACGGCUAACUACGUGCCAGCAGCCGCCGUAA
rnacentral:rRNA from 1 species